GCCAGCCCGCUCAGAAACUUAAAGGAAUUGGACGGGGGCCCGCACAAGCGGAGGAGCAUGUGGUUUAAUUCGAUGAUACGCGAGGAACCUUACCUGGGCUCGAACGUAAGAUGACUGUAGGUGAAAGCUUACAUCUCUUCGGAGCAUUUUACGAGGUGCUGCAUGGUUGUCGUCAGCUCGUGCCGUGAGAUGUUGGGUUAAGUCCCGUAACGAGCGCAACCCUUGUCCUUAGUUACCAGCACGUUAUGGUGGGCACUCUAAGGAGACUGCCGGUGACAAACCGGAGGAAGGUGGGGAUGACGUCAAGUCAUCAUGGCCCUUACGGCCUGGGCUACACACGUGCUACAAUGGUCGGUACAAAGGGUUGCCAAGCCGCGAGGUGGAGCUAAUCCCAUAAAACCGAUCGUAGUCCGGAUCGCAGUCUGCAACUCGACUGCGUGAAGUCGGAAUCGCUAGUAAUCGUGAAUCAGAAUGUCACGGUGAAUACGUUCCCGGGCCUU
rnacentral:rRNA from 1 species